AUGCUGUUGGCGGGGCUGUCCCUGGCGCUCUGCGCGCUGUCGCUGUGCCCGGCGGUGCUCGGCGCUGCGCGGCCGCAGCUGCUGGUGGAGAGGAGCGGCUCCAGGAUGCUGCGGCAGGUGAGAGGGACCGGCCCUGCCUCGCUGCUGCGGGGAGAGGGGACGUGGGGGGGAGCGAGGGGGCUGCGGGGUGAAGUGGGAGCCCACAAACACCCCCACGCCUUGGGGAUAGGGCUGCAGCUUCGGGUUCGGCCUCAGCCCGUCUCCCAGCGGGCCCGGAGCCCGGAGUGUGGCCGGAGCCCGGCGGCCUCCUUUCGCUCGGCUCUAUCUCUCCGCUCUGUGCGCCUUCCCGGCGUGCAGCCCUGGUUCCCACGCACAGAACCGACACGCACCGCCUGGAACACACAGAGGGAAACAGGCAGCUUUGGGGAACCUCUGCGUGACUUUCACGUGGUGUGGAGGGAAAGAUCUCUUUUUUCUAUUCCUGAUAAGCCGAUAUCGCUUGGGGAGAGGGUCAGCGGGUCGGAUGGGGCGCUGAGAAGCAGUAGGAGGGGCUGUGCACAGCCGCACGCACCCACGCUGCACCGUUCCUCUGCCGUGGAGCCUCUCUGCCUGCAGACCCGCGGGUGGGGAGGGGCAGGGGCUCAGGGCUCUUGCAAAAGUCGGGAUGUGCUGCUGCCCCAUGCCCCGGCUUGCCCUGCACACAGACUGUGUGGGCAGUGGUGCUGCUGGCGCAGCAGGUACGCAGCGGGGCACAUGGCCUCACCAGGGCACACGGCCUCUGAAAGUCAUACAGCCUCACCAGGACAUACGGCCACCAUCGGUUCCAGGGCAGCCGCAGCCAAACUUGCUCGGGGUGCACAGCCCAGGCAUCCUCUCACCUCAGCCCCAGCUGAUCUUCCCUCUGUGGUUUCCAUACCCCCUCUGCCCUACCGGCUCUCCCAGUCCUGGAAGCUGGGACUGCCCAAGGUGCAGCCAGUGGGGCAGGAGCUGCUGGCACUGCUGGCACCGAGCACCAUUUCACUGCACACUUUGCAUUCCAAGCCUGCAGCCCACGGAGCUGCUCAGCAGGGCACGCAGGCUGUGUCCCCCACCUGA
rnacentral:lncRNA from 1 species